CUUGGCACUAAGAGCCGAUGAAAGACGUGAUAAGCUGCGAAAAGCUUCGGGGAGGAGCAAAUAUCCAUUGAUCCGGAGAUAUCUGAAUGGGGAAACCCGGCUGAGAAGACCUCAGUCAUCCAUACGCCAAUACAUAACGUAUGGAAGGGAACCCGCUGAACUGAAACAUCUAAGUAGGCGGAGGAAGAGAAAGAAACAUCGAUUCCCAAAGUAGCGGCGAGCGAAAUGGGAAGAGCCCAAACCAGAGUGCGUGCACUCUGGGGUUACGGACUGCAUAAGUGAGCUGAUUCGUUAAUGGAACGGUCCUGGAAAGACCGGCCAGAGAGAGUGAAAGCCUCGUACAUGAAAACGAUAAGCAGCGGCAGGAUCCAGAGUACCGCGAGACACGUGGAACCUUGCGGGAAUUCGGGGGGACCACCCCCCAAGGCUAAAUACUCCUUAGUGACCGAUAGCGCAUAGUACUGUGAAGGAAAGGUGAAAAGGACCCCGGGAGGGGAGUGAAAGAGAACCUGAAACCCUGUGUUUACAAGCUGUGGAAGCACGUUAAGGUGCAACCGCGUACUUUUUGUAGAACGGUCCGGCGAGUUGCGGAUGCUGGCGAGGUUAAGGAGUAAAGCUCCGGAGCCGAAGCGAGAGCGAGUCUUAAUAGGGCGUAAAGUCAGCAUGUGCAGACCCGAAACCGGGUGACCUAUCCAUGUCCAGGUUGAAGUUCCCGUAAAAGGGAAUGGAGGACCGAACGCACAUCCGUUGAAAAGGGUGGCGAUGAGGUGUGGAUAGGGGAGAAAUUCCAAUCGAACCCGGAGAUAGCUGGUUCUCCUCGAAAUAGCUUUAGGGCUAGCCUCGUAUUAGUUUAGCGGAGGUAGAGCACUGAAUUUCCUAGGGGGCGUCAAAGUCUACCGAAGAAUAUCAAACUCCGAAUGCCGCAUAAAUGAUGUACGGGAGUCAGACUGCACGAGAUAAGUUGGGUAGUCAAAAGGGAAAGAGCCCAGACCUACAGCUAAGGUCCCAAAGUGUGUGUUAAGUGGAAAAGGAUGUGGGAUUUCGAAGACAACUAGGAUGUUGGCUCAGAAGCAGCCACACAUUCAAAGAGUGCGUAAUAGCUCACUAGUCGAGAGGUCCUGCGCCGAAAAUGUCCGGGGCUAAAACACAACACCGAAGCUUAGGAAUGUAAUUAUACAUUGGUAGAGGAGCAUUCUUAAAGAGACGAAGCAGUACCGAUAAGGAGCUGUGGAUUUUUAAGAAGAGAGAAUGCCGGAAUGAGUAGCGAGAUGGAGGUGGGAAUCCUCCAGGCCGAAUAUCUAAGGUUUCCAGAGUAAAGCUGAUCUGCUCUGGGUAAGUCGGGGCCUAAGGCGAGGUCGAAAGACGUAGUCGAUGGAUAACAGGUUGAAAUUCCUGUACUGCAUAUCAUCAGAACUGUGGGGACACAGAGAGAUA
rnacentral:rRNA from 1 species